rnacentral:rRNA from 1 species
AAUCAACGCUGGCGGCGUGCCUAACACAUGCAAGUCGAACGCGAGAGGGGCUUCGGCCCUGAUUGAGUGGCAAACGGGUGAGUAACGCGUGGGUGACCUACCUUCGAGUGGGGGAUAACGUUCCGAAAGGGACGCUAAUACCGCAUAACAUCCUGUCUUUGGACAGAUGGAGAUCAAAGCCGGGGAUCGUAAGACCUGGCGCUUGAGGAGGGGCCCGCGUCCGAUUAGCUAGUUGGGGGUAAUGGCUCACCAAGGCAACGAUCGGUAGCCGGCCUGAGAGGGCGGACGGCCACACUGGGACUGAGACAC